CUUCACCGUACACAGAUUUGCUUGGAAGUUCAUAGAAAGGGGAAGAAUCGAAAGCAGGAGAAAGAGGAGGGAGAAGAAGAGUAAUGGCGGACUAUCACUUUGUGUACAAGGAUGUUGAAGGAGCAUCGACUCAGUGGGAUGAUAUACAGAUAAAGCUUGGGAAUUUACCUCCAAAGCCACCUGCUUUCAAGCCACCGUCCUUCACUCCAGCUCCAGACGAAGAUUCAAUUCCUAAAGAUAAGUCCUGGAUCGAUGAGAAAACUGAAGAAGAGCUCGAGGACCUCGAAGACGAUCUUAACGACGAUCGAUUCCUUGAAGAAUACAGGAAGAAGAGGAUAGCUGAGAUGAGGGAAGCAGCUAAAAUUUCGAGGUUUGGAUCAAUGAUUCCAAUUUCAGGGUCAGACUUUAUUAGAGAGGUGACCGAAGCAAGCCAUGAUGUUUGGGUCGUUGUGAUUCUCUACAAGGAUGGAUAUCAGGAAUGUGGAGUACUGCUGCGAUGUCUGGAAGAGUUGGCAACUAGAUAUCCUGCUACAAAGUUUGUUAAGAUCAUAUCCACAGAUUGUAUACCAAACUACCCAGAUCGUAAUCUUCCCACUAUGCUGGUGUACAAUAAUGGUGCAGUGAAAGCAAAUUAUGUGGGUUUGCAUAGUUUUGGCCGGAGAUGCACCCCUGAAGGUGUUGCAUUAGUCCUUUGUCAAUUGGGCCCUGUACUAAAUGAUGGUCAGAGUGGAAGUGAUCCAUCAAGAGAAACCGUCAUGGAAGGAGAACGGAGGAGGCUCUUAGAGAAAGUUGUUAAGGAGCACGAGGAUGAUGAUGAUGGAUCAUCAAGUGAUUAGAAUUUUAGUAGUUUUUGGGUUUUUAUGAGGAAAAAAAAUUGUAUUUUACGCAUUCUAAUCAGUUUGUGGCUAUUUGUUGAUGCUUCAGGUAUUUUGUUUAUAGUGUGCUUAAGACUGUAAGGAUUAUCAGUCCUCCUCCUGAUCCAGAAGCAUGUGUGUGGGGUUUUAUUUAUUUAUUUAUUUUUAACAGCAAAAAAGUUUCCUUAAAAAAAACCCCACACACAUGCUUCUG
rnacentral:misc_RNA from 1 species